ACGUCCUCCCAUCCCUCACCCCUUUUCCCUCUGAUGAAACCUCCCAUGCCGCAUCUUCUCUUCUUGCUUCCUCGCCGCCAUGCGCCAACCCCGCCAUCAGCUGUUGAUCCGGCCGCGUACUUCCACCCUCGUCGCCCUCCCUAGUCCAGUAACGUCACCCGCUCCCUACAACUCCUGUAUAGGUCUUCGUGGCCCUCAGAUCUGGCAGCCCUCAGCCACGACGCUGCCGGAUCUGGUUGGCGUGGCCUCGUUGCCCCAACCAAUAGGUGCUCGACGCCUCUCCUCGGGACCGUAGCGGUAUUCUUCGUCGGCUCUCUAUCCCUCCACCUCCUGCGCCAUGUAUCGGCCUUCUGCCCUUUCUUGAAGCUCCUUCUCAUCCAAGUGGUCACCUGAUGCUGCCGAGUGGACCACGCUCACUCGCGCCUUCGCCCGCCAGUACCAGGAUUUGCUCGUGUGUUUCAAGUUGAAUACUGGGGAGAUGGAGGAGAUGUGCCACGGCAGGCUACUGUGGUGGUGAGAUUCAGAGCGGGGGCUUCUUGUUAUACUUAAAUGCACUAUGCUAUCAUGCAUGUCUAAGUCGCGGGCCUAUCUGAAGAGCAAUAAUAUAAAGCUUUUGAGCUUAGGCACAUGAAUCAAGCCCCCAGAAUCCGAUGGUCUACUGAGCCAGUUUUAAGUUGGCGAGGAAGGGUGGAGCAGUGAACCUUGCCACACAACGGCACCCCCUUCGCCUGAUGACCUUUUCCGAUCACGAUGACCUCCUGUCGCUGCUGAAGGAAUUGGAAACAGUACUGGAGGAAUUGUGAUCUAUGUCAAGGGUGAUGAUGUCUAUGGAAAUGAUUGUUGAGUGUUAUGAUACAUAUGGUGAUGAAGGGUGACGAAUCUAAUGUCUUUCGUCAAGACAUGCAACAAAGUGAAGUUAUGAAGUUCUGGUCAAUUUAGCUUAUGCAUAAUGCUUGGACCAUUAGAUCUUAGUUACUAUUUUAUUUUGCAUUUCAAACUUCCCAGAUAGAUCACGGUGAUCAAUGUAAUUUUGAUGCAACUCUUCUGAUAUUCUGAAA